rnacentral:lncRNA from 1 species
AGGGAGAAUGCUAUUCUCUUUAAAACGUAAGGAUAUUGAAACUGCGAGUUCUUCAACAGCGUUAGCGCAACGAGCGCUUAUGUCUGAUUUAAGUGUAAAAUGGGAUGAUGCUAAACUGUUAGUAAAGGAGGAGGACCCCAAAAAGGGAAGAAUAGCUGAGACCAUUGCGAUCUAUAAUAAGAGGAAGACAAACAGAAUACCGAUUAAUUUAACCGAUCCAUCUGCGAUAAGCAAUGCCUGGAAGUCGUGUGAUAGGCAGAAGUUGUGUCAUUAAGACUGUUUUAUACGUUUUUUGUGGGAUUUCAAUAUUGUUUGUUAUUACAUUUUAUCUGUGUAUAGAUCUUAACGGCUUAAAAAUGUUAUAUUUUAUUAGUCCGUUGUAAGAUUAUAUUUUCUCUGUGAAAUAUUUAGUAUUAUGAUUGUAGCCUAUGAUGUAAAUUUGUUUAUAUUUUGUCACUAUAGUUACCGUUUGUUCGAUGUUCCAUUUAAUUAGUUGGUAUUUUGAAUGUGUAGAAGCUGAGGAGGAUUUUAUUAAAAAAUCGAAAGUGCUUCUUCGUAUGAUAAUUUUGUUUGUGUCAUUAAUUUUUGAGUUCGUAGAAUUUCCUGCCAUAGUGCUGAAGAAGUUAAAUGU